rnacentral:lncRNA from 1 species
GAAAUGGGAUCUCUUCAUGUUUACGUAUUCUUUCCUUUGACACAGGGUCUUACAAGAUAUUGAAAAGUUGGAAGAGCCAUCUAAGAUCCAGUGGUUAAAGGUAAAAGAUUAUCUAGAGACGGAAUAGACCAGCUUAUGAUAGUGUAAGUUUUGAAAGUUGGAAGAAUCAACAAAUAUGCACUGAAUCCAACGAUGAGCCAGUCUUGAGGAGAAAGUUGUUUGAUUCCACCCAGCAGUGAAUCCACCAAGGAAGAUGAGACACUAUCCUGUAAGCCAUGGUGAUAAUGAUUCGUGAUUCAUCCAUUGUCCAUACCAUACCCAGAAGUUAAUUUGGAGGAUACUCCUUUAGGAAGAAAGGACUCCAAAGACCAUCAGUCACAUUUAUUCCUUCCAUAUAAGUUUCACUAUAUUUUGCAAAGCCACUAGCAAUGGACAUGUUUCACUUGAUGGCCACAGCUGUCUUUCUGAAUCUCAUGGAUGAAGAUACCUGAAGUCAUCUUCAUGACCUCCCAUGGAGACCUAAAGAGUUUGAAGAAGAUAACUGUCAUCAACUGCCAUGUCUCCCCAGGAAGUAUUGCCAUAUCCCUCUUAUUUCCUUGUCAUCCAUCGAGAAAUCCUCAAAAUUCUUACUGUACAAAGGGGAAACCCUGACUUCCAGUCCUGAUCUCAUAUUAGCUUCCUUUAUAUUUAAGCUGGGGAAAAAUACAACUCUCAAGGUCUUUGAGGCCAGCCCAACCCUUGCCAGAAGGCUAUUACAGUACAAAUACAAUUAGAAAUAUGAGUUAUUUAAGCACAGGCAUUUGUGACAGUCUAC